UGGGGAAUAUUGGACAAUGGGCGAAAGCCUGAUCCAGCCAUGCCGCGUGGGUGAAGAAGGCCUUAGGGUUGUAAACCCCUUUCAGCGGGGAAGAUAAUGACGGUACCCGCAGAAGAAGUCCCGGCUAACUCCGUGCCAGCAGCCGCGGUAAUACGGAGGGGACUAGCGUUGUUCGGAAUUACUGGGCGUAAAGCGCACGUAGGCGGAUUUGUAAGUCAGGGGUGAAAUCCCGGGGCUCAACCUCGGAACUGCCUUUGAUACUGCAAAUCUCGAGUCCGGAAGAGGUGAGUGGAAUUCCUAGUGUAGAGGUGAAAUUCGUAGAUAUUAGGAAGAACACCAGUGGCGAAGGCGGCUCACUGGUCCGGUACUGACGCUGAGGUGCGAAAGCGUGGGGAGCAAACAGG
rnacentral:rRNA from 2 species